rnacentral:rRNA from 1 species
ACGGACCAAGGAGUCUAGCACGCGCGCGAGUCGGCGCUCGCGCGAAAGCCCGCGGCGCAAUGAAGGUGAGGGCCGGCGCGCGCCGGCUGAGGUGGGAUCCCGGGGCGGCAGGCCGGAAGGCCCCGGGCGCACCACCGGCCCGUCUCGCCCGCCUCGCCGGGGAGGUGGAGCAUGAGCGCGCGUGCUAGGA